UCAAGCAAAUGAUAGAAAACAGUUCAGUCAGCCAUUCUUUUCUGUGCCUGCUUGACAAAUACCAAUAUAGUUGCAAUAAUACCUUUUGUUAUUUAAUAAUUUUCAGCCAUGAAAGUCACUCAAAUAGCAAGCUAUGUGAAGAUAAUUGAAAUGAAUAUUAUUGAAAAGGAAGGAACCUGUUCAGAUAAGAAAAAGCCCUAGACACCUUCUACUGAAACAUGAAAAUGUGGUUUAUUUGGUGGUGCAUCACGAGCAACAAUGAAUACAGAUAAAAAUAAUUUCUUCAACUUGGUAGCUGGCACACGAUUGUAAGAGAAAAAUGAACUCUUAAGGCCUUUGAUUUUUAUCUUGAAACAAGCAAAAGCAGCAUCUAUAUAAGCUAAUAGAAAUCUGUGCAGCACAAUCAAGGAUAAUCAAAUUGGCCAUCUAAAAAAGAACAUUAAUAAAAAUGUAAACCCUUUAAAACUGUUAUAUAAUGAAUUAUAUAGGAAGACAUCUACCGAGCAGUUUGAAAUCACUGGGCUCUCACUACUUACAUGAGGCAUGGAACAGGUUAGAAAUGCAAUUUAGCCUGGUAAGUGAGAGGUACGAUUGUUCCACAAAAGGGUUGCUGCAGACUAAACCUCAGUUACCAAUUGUUGAUUUCUCUUUAUUAGAUGUACAACUGAGACACGGAACCAUGGCAUGGUGCAAUCUUGUUCCACAAUCAAAACAGACAAUAAAUGCCACCUCUUAUAAGACGCAAAUAGAAUUCCUAAUUUCUUAAACCUAGCAGCCAGCAUGGUAUUGUAAGAAAACAUUGAAAGCCAAGGUUUUUAAUUUUUAUCCUAAAACAAGCAGAAGCAAAAUGUGUAUCUGGGAACAGAACUCCACGCAACACAAUAAAGAAGUACAGGUUAGCCAUCUAAGAAAGCACCUUAAAAAAAAUCAAAACCCUUUAUAUAUCAAAUGCUCUAGCAAGACCUCUACUGAGCAUUUUGAGAUCGCUGGGCUCUCAGUACUUGCAUGAAGCAUUAAACAGAUCAGAAAUGCAAUUGUGCCCUGUCACAUGAGAAGAAUGGUUUUACAAUAUAGAGCCUGAUAUAGAAUAAAAUUGCACCGGAUGCAUGAUUUUCACUUCAACUCAACUAAAUAUCAGUCAAACUAAUUGGGAUGGAUGUUUUCAUAUAUACAAUUAUUGACGUUGCUUCAUUAAAUGUACAAUAGGCAACUUAGAGAAUACCAAUUGCCUCUUACUCAUUAUCAACGUAAGACAUGGGAUACUCUAAGACAUUCCCUGCUUCAUAAUAGUCCCACAUAUAGAGCAUAGGCUCUAAGUCAAUUAGCAAUAGACCAGUAAGUCUCACAAUUUAAAGAAGGGUAGCUGCUCAAUAAAGAGGCUCCAAAGUUGAAAUUCUAGAUCAGAAAACACUAUAGGACACACCCCAUUGUAGCCAUUGAUGGAAUCUAAUUUGUAAUCAACGCAUUCAAUCCUGCACCUGCUAAAGUCUAGUGUACAAACUCCUAUGAUCGUCUUGAUAUCAUGUGCUAAACAAUGAACAGCUCCAUUCCAAAGCCAUGACAAGGGACAACCUUAUUUGAUGAGAAUCAUCAAGAAAAAACACAUGAACCGAUAGAGGUGUCAAUUGAGCCCAUUACAAGGUCAAGGGCCAAGAAGAUUAAAGAGGCACUCAAUGUGCUUAUUCAGGAUAUUUAGGUCAAGUUAAGCUUUCAGACUUCAAUAAGGGAUGAUCAACCUAUAAUUAAUGUAAAUCCACACAAGAAAAGGAAUUGAGGAAGUGACAAGGACAUGGAGGGGCAGUUUGGGCUUGGUUUCCUCAUGGUUUGCAGAUUCCUUUAGGAGUUGAACAAAUUUAAGUUGGAUUUUAGCUUUAUUUUUUUUAGUACACAGUUUUACACAAACAAACAUAAUUAUCUAUUCAACCGUUGAAUCAGACUGAA